AAUGGUUGCUAAUGAGACAUAGUGCAUGCACAGCCUGCCUUAUUCCACUGCUGAUUGCAGUGUUACAGCACGCUGAAGACCAGGUUUCUGGGUUAUUGUUCAAGUCAGGGCAUCUUCACUCUGCUCUCCAAAUGUCUGAGAUAUAGCUACUAUCUUGUCUCAUCACUACA